GUGGGGAAUAUUGGACAAUGGGGGGAACCCUGAUCCAGCCAUGCCGCGUGUGUGAAGAAGGCCUUUUGGUUGUAAAGCACUUUAAGCGAGGAGGAGGCUACCGAGAUUAAUACUCUUGGAUAGUGGACGUUACUCGCAGAAUAAGCACCGGCUAACUCUGUGCCAGCAGCCGCGGUAAUACAGAGGGUGCAAGCGUUAAUCGGAUUUACUGGGCGUAAAGCGCGCGUAGGUGGCCAAUUAAGUCAAAUGUGAAAUCCCCGAGCUUAACUUGGGAAUUGCAUUCGAUACUGGUUGGCUAGAGUAUGGGAGAGGAUGGUAGAAUUCCAGGUGUAGCGGUGAGAUGCGUAGAGAUCUGGAGGAAUACCGAUGGCGAAGGCAGCCAUCUGGCCUAAUACUGACACUGAGGUGCGAAAGCAUGGGGAGCAAACAGGAUUAGAAACCCGUGUAGUCC
rnacentral:rRNA from 1 species